AGCGUACACGGUGGAUGCCCUGGCAGUCAGAGGCGAUGAAGGACGUGCUAAUCUGCGAUAAGCGUCGGUGAGGUGAUAUGAACCGUUAUAACCGGCGAUUUCCGAAUGGGGAAACCCAGUGUGUUUCGACACACUAUCAUUAACUGAAUCCAUAGGUUAAUGAGGCGAACCGGGGGAACUGAAACAUCUAAGUACCCCGAGGAAAAGAAAUCAACCGAGAUUCCCCCAGUAGCGGCGAGCGAACGGGGAGGAGCCCAGAGCCUGAAUCAGUGUGUGUGUUAGUGGAAGCGUCUGGAAAGGCGCGCGAUACAGGGUGACAGCCCCGUACACAAAAAUGCACAUAUUGUGAGCUCGAUGAGUAGGGCGGGACACGUGGUAUCCUGUCUGAAUAUGGGGGGACCAUCCUCCAAGGCUAAAUACUCCUGACUGACCGAUAGUGAACCAGUACCGUGAGGGAAAGGCGAAAAGAACCCCGGCGAGGGGAGUGAAAAAGAACCUGAAACCGUGUACGUACAAGCAGUGGGAGCCUCUUAAUGGGGUGACUGCGUACCUUUUGUAUAAUGGGUCAGCGACUUAUAUUCUGUAGCAAGGUUAACCGAAUAGGGGAGCCGAAGGGAAACCGAGUCUUAACUGGGCGUUAAGUUGCAGGGUAUAGACCCGAAACCCGGUGAUCUAGCCAUGGGCAGGUUGAAGGUUGGGUAACACUAACUGGAGGACCGAACCGACUAAUGUUGAAAAAUUAGCGGAUGACUUGUGGCUGGGGGUGAAAGGCCAAUCAAACCGGGAGAUAGCUGGUUCUCCCCGAAAGCUAUUUAGGUAGCGCCUCGUGAAUUCAUCUCCGGGGGUAGAGCACUGUUUCGGCAAGGGGGUCAUCCCGACUUACCAACCCGAUGCAAACUGCGAAUACCGGAGAAUGUUAUCACGGGAGACACACGGCGGGUGCUAACGUCCGUCGUGAAGAGGGAAACAACCCAGACCGCCAGCUAAGGUCCCAAAGUCAUGGUUAAGUGGGAAACGAUGUGGGAAGGCCCAGACAGCCAGGAUGUUGGCUUAGAAGCAGCCAUCAUUUAAAGAAAGCGUAAUAGCUCACUGGUCGAGUCGGCCUGCGCGGAAGAUGUAACGGGGCUAAACCAUGCACCGAAGCUGCGGCAGCGACGCUUAUGCGUUGUUGGGUAGGGGAGCGUUCUGUAAGCCUGCGAAGGUGUGCUGUGAGGCAUGCUGGAGGUAUCAGAAGUGCGAAUGCUGACAUAAGUAACGAUAAAGCGGGUGAAAAGCCCGCUCGCCGGAAGACCAAGGGUUCCUGUCCAACGUUAAUCGGGGCAGGGUGAGUCGACCCCUAAGGCGAGGCCGAAAGGCGUAGUCGAUGGGAAACAGGUUAAUAUUCCUGUACUUGGUGUUACUGCGAAGGGGGGACGGAGAAGGCUAUGUUGGCCGGGCGACGGUUGUCCCGGUUUAAGCGUGUAGGCUGGUUUUCCAGGCAAAUCCGGAAAACCAAGGCUGAGGCGUGAUGACGAGGCACUACGGUGCUGAAGUGACAAAUGCCCUGCUUCCAGGAAAAGCCUCUAAGCAUCAGGUAACAUCAAAUCGUACCCCAAACCGACACAGGUGGUCAGGUAGAGAAUACCAAGGCGCUUGAGAGAACUCGGGUGAAGGAACUAGGCAAAAUGGUGCCGUAACUUCGGGAGAAGGCACGCUGAUAUGUAGGUGAAGCGACUUGCUCGUGGAGCUGAAAUCAGUCGAAGAUACCAGCUGGCUGCAACUGUUUAUUAAAAACACAGCACUGUGCAAACACGAAAGUGGACGUAUACGGUGUGACGCCUGCCCGGUGCCGGAAGGUUAAUUGAUGGGGUUAGCGGUAACGCGAAGCUCUUGAUCGAAGCCCCGGUAAACGGCGGCCGUAACUAUAACGGUCCUAAGGUAGCGAAAUUCCUUGUCGGGUAAGUUCCGACCUGCACGAAUGGCGUAAUGAUGGCCAGGCUGUCUCCACCCGAGACUCAGUGAAAUUGAACUCGCUGUGAAGAUGCAGUGUACCCGCGGCAAGACGGAAAGACCCCGUGAACCUUUACUAUAGCUUGACACUGAACAUUGAGCCUUGAUGUGUAGGAUAGGUGGGAGGCUUUGAAGUGUGGACGCCAGUCUGCAUGGAGCCGACCUUGAAAUACCACCCUUUAAUGUUUGAUGUUCUAACGUUGGCCCGUAAUCCGGGUUGCGGACAGUGUCUGGUGGGUAGUUUGACUGGGGCGGUCUCCUCCUAAAGAGUAACGGAGGAGCACGAAGGUUGGCUAAUCCUGGUCGGACAUCAGGAGGUUAGUGCAAUGGCAUAAGCCAGCUUGACUGCGAGCGUGACGGCGCGAGCAGGUGCGAAAGCAGGUCAUAGUGAUCCGGUGGUUCUGAAUGGAAGGGCCAUCGCUCAACGGAUAAAAGGUACUCCGGGGAUAACAGGCUGAUACCGCCCAAGAGUUCAUAUCGACGGCGGUGUUUGGCACCUCGAUGUCGGCUCAUCACAUCCUGGGGCUGAAGUAGGUCCCAAGGGUAUGGCUGUUCGCCAUUUAAAGUGGUACGCGAGCUGGGUUUAGAACGUCGUGAGACAGUUCGGUCCCUAUCUGCCGUGGGCGCUGGAGAACUGAGGGGGGCUGCUCCUAGUACGAGAGGACCGGAGUGGACGCAUCACUGGUGUUCGGGUUGUCAUGCCAAUGGCACUGCCCGGUAGCUAAAUGCGGAAGAGAUAAGUGCUGAAAGCAUCUAAGCACGAAACUUGCCCCGAGAUGAGUUCU
rnacentral:rRNA from 1 species